GAAGCGGAGCGCGCCCGUGCGAAGCACUGGGUGGCUCCAGCUCCGCCACUGCGCGCGCUCCAGCGCCCCAGAAGGCAGGGGGCAGCCCGGGGACCGGGGUCCCGGAGCCCCGUGGGAGGCGGGCAACACCUGUCGGGACCCGAGGGCGUGUCUGAGAUUGUGGCCUGAGGUGCUGCGCCUUCCGAUCCGGGGCAGCGGGCGUCCUGUAGCUGCGCCUUCCGAAUCCAGCCCAGAUUCUCCUACCAGCUGCUUGGGUCACGUCGGUGGAACUCCUAAAGGGAUGCCUUCAAAAUGUGUGAAUAAGCUUCAAUCAGACUGCCCUUCCCAAAGAAAAUAACUAUAAAUGCUGGAAAAACUACAAAACAGCCACCUGAAGGCACUGGCGAGAGACAAAAGCAAGCAAAUUCUGGAGAAGAGUCAACACUUGGAAGAAGGGAGCUGCACUGGGUACAUGGGGAAGGAACAGUGUCUCUGCAUGAGAAUGGCCAAAGAACAAGAUACAUUUCCCCGUGGAGAGCAAUCCUAGAGAGAGGGAAGCAUGGGUCAGAAUAAGGUGUACUGGCCCCAGGCAUAAACCAGGUAGCUGCUGUUUUGUGCCCUAAGUGUCUAUCCAUGGCAUACUCCUCAGAAAAUCAAGACAUCUCUUUUUUCUUCCCUGUUCC
rnacentral:lncRNA from 10 species